CGCGUAGGUGGUAGUGUAAGUCUGAGGUGGAAUCCUAUGGCUUAACCAUAGAACUGCCUUGGAUACUGUAUUACUUGAGUCAGUGAGGGGAGGGUAGAAUUCCUGGUGUAGCGGUGAAAUGCGUAGAUAUCAGGAGGAAGGCCUGUGGCGAAGGCGGCCCUCUGGUGCUGGACUGACACUGAGGCGCGAAAGCGUGGGGAGCAAACAGGAUUAGAUACCCUGGUAGUCCACGCCCUAAACGGUGGGCACUAGGUGUAGGGCUCGCAAGGGUUCUGUGCCGAUGGGAAACCAUUAAGUGCCCCGCCUGGGGAGUACGGCCGCAAGGUUGAA
rnacentral:rRNA from 1 species